rnacentral:misc_RNA from 1 species
AAGUCGUAACAAGGUUACCGUAGGUGAACCUGCGGUAGGAUCAUUUCCAACAAAAACUAUACCAACCCACGUGUGAUCCCAGAUUGUUAUUUACUCUUCAUCGGCGCGUGUGUGUGUGUUUGCGCACCGCACCGCCCGAUGGAGAGGCCUUGUUGAACUACCUUGUCAAAAGGUUGAUUGCUGUCGUUUUUGGCUUACACAAAAUCCAAAAUGAUCAGACAACUUUUAACGGUGGAUCUCUUGGCUCGU